rnacentral:rRNA from 1 species
UACGUAGGGCGCAAGCGUUGUCCGGAAUUAUUGGGCGUAAAGAGCUCGUAGGCGGCCAGUUGCGUCUGCUGUGAAAUCCCGGGGCUCAACCCCGGGCGUGCAGUGGAUACGGGCUGGCUAGAGGCAGGCAGGGGGAGAACGGAAUUCCCGGUGUAGCGGUGAAAUGCGCAGAUAGUCGGGAGGAACACCGGUGGCGAAGGCGGUUCUCUGGGCCUGUACUGACGCUGAGGAGCGAAAGCGUGGGGAGCGAACAGG